rnacentral:misc_RNA from 1 species
UCUGACGUCUCAGCGAAAACUACUUAGAGCGGUUGCAGAAAAUUAAGAGCAGCGAUAGUACUUGAGAUAUCCUUAAGUAAAAAAAUUAUAUUGGCCUUGGAAGCUGCACUCAAGGAAAUCUGUGUGUGCAUUCGACGUUUUAUCUUCGGCUUAGUCUUGACGACUGAGGUCUUCAUAUCUUCGAAGCAGCUUCGUGAAAAUGAUCAUGUGGGGUUUGGUGGCUGUUGUUUCAUAUCUUCUUGUUUAUGAAGGAUUUGGGGCUAUUGAAAGACAUCGAAAGCCAGGACCUGAUGAAAUAGAACGAGUGAUAAAUGUUACUCAUUCCUCUUUCUGGAAAUGUUCAAUGUUACAAUGCCCAACAGGACAUGGAUCAACUGUGCCCUGUGCUACCAGUGUCUCAAUCAGUACACCAAUCAUGUGUGUGCCUUGUAUUGGUGGGGUAAAUUUUUCCGACAUUGAUGAUUACACCCCUUGCAAAAGUUGUCGUAACUGUGACAAGAAUGAAGAAAGGUCUGGAGAAUGUACCCUUGAGUCAGAUACCACAGUGUGUCUAGGAACAUGUUACAAAGGCUUCUAUAUGGAUAAAAUCUCUGGUGGAUGUCAUAAGUGCAGUGCCUGUUGCGGGCAUGAUGAGAAACAUCAUGAAAAACAGUGUGAAAAUUCUGGGCUUUCAAGGAGCAUGCAAUGCAGGCAAAAUCAUAUCGAGUGUCCUAAAAAACACACCAAAAACAACACUGACAUGGAUCAGCACAAAAGGGGCCUUACUGGGCCAACAAUUGUGGGCAUCGUGGUUGGUCUUGUUUUCUCUUUCGUGGUUGGUGUCUGUGUGAUCAUCUGGUGUCGUCGUAACAGGGACUCUGAAUGUAUGAGUUCACUUACUGUAUAUUUUCACAGUUCAGACACCCACCCCCACAAUUCUGAGUAUUGCCGUGGGCUGAGUACAGGGCAAAUGGUUCAACUUCAAUUUAAAGAGACUACAGGAGGUACCCUUAAGUCAGGAAAGAAGCCAGUGUACCAACGGGUGAAGUCAGUUCCUGUUGAAACCAGACAAGAGCCAGUAAAGAAAAUUCCUAGGUCACAUUCACACCCAGGAGCUCUUCCCAAAAUCCUAAACAAAAAGCAGGGAACAUCUAAUCUCAGAAAAGAUCCUUCACCACAGAUCAGGAGUCUAAGGAACAAAAAAUGGGUCAAGCAAGGAUAUAUUCCUGUGCCAACAAUUCAGUUCCCUGCAUUUAAGGAGGAUGAAGCCAUUGAGCAUUCUUCAAAUCCAGGCCCAUUAAUAGAUCCUCUGCCAACUCCUUCACAAUUUGGACACAAUGUGGAAGACAUCCCACAGAUUUCCCUGCAAUCUGUUGAUGUUAGAUUGCAACAACCUAGGCUUGAGAAAAAUUCUACAUCCACUUCGACAACAGGGCUUUUUAACCCAACUGCAACUGUCCCACAAAUUUCUGACAUACCUCAAGAAUUCCUGGACUAUAUCCUCAGUAAAAAAGUGACCAAAAUAGGCAUUCAGUUUUAUAGCAAGAUUUGUCAGACACUGGACAUUUUGCGGGAUAUACAGGGGGAUGAUUUCCGCCAGCUUGGUGAAAAAGUUGGUAUAGACAAGGUUGCCAUCUCGUGGUUGAAACAAAGAGGUAACCCCACAGAGGAAAUCUUAAAGCAAUUUGAUUCAAAGAGAGAAAACUGUGUGGGCAGAUUUAAAAGCAUUCUAGAAGAAAUGGGACGAGAUGAUGUGGUUAUAAUAAUUGAGAAUUGGAUUCGGUUUGAGUGGCAAGAAAACAUCAAGUCUCAGACUGUUUAAAUGUUAGGUCUCAGACGUAGUUGUGACCUCCAUCCAACUCUCAAGAAUGAUCUAGAGGAACAUAAAUUAUGAGACAUCUGAUAGGUUAUAUUUUGUUCAUAGAUUACUAUCAGUGAUAGCUAUCAACCUUUUUACUGGUUGCAGUAAAGACGACAAGCAGGUAUAAUCUUAGCUGGCAUAAAAAACUGCUUGAUAUGUAUUUUAAUUUCUUAUCAGCCUGGGCCUAGUUGUUCAAAGGAUGGAUAACACUAUUCAAAGAUAAACUGAUAUCUAGCAGAUAAGUAUUAACAAAAUGCAGCCACGAUCCAUCAGAUAGUGAUUUAUCCAGUGGAUAGCGUUAUCCACCUUACAAUCAACUGGGGUCUGUGCCCUACAACAAUGUGUGCAGGAGAAGCUUGCUCUAUAUAAUUACUGGCAAGAAAUGAUUAUGUUAUUCUUGUUAUUGUUGUUAGAAAUAUUACUUCUCAAAUAUUUAUUCCAAUUUUUUGCUUAACUUUUAUUUAAAUGAAAGCUCAAAGAACUUUCUUAUCAUUAGUUAUUGUAAAUAGAAGGAGCAGUAAAUUUUUGCAAUAAUUGUAUAGUUUCUAUAAUUUGAGAUGUUCUUCUCUUUAUGCACAGAUGUUUCACUUACGGUACAAGUGAUGAAUGAUGAGUGAAACAAUAAACUUAGAAUUUUUCUACUUUUAAGGUGGCUAGAAUUUUCGAAAAAGAUAGUAAACUGAAGCUUGACUAUUUGUGGUGAAUAGUUUUCACUCAUGUAUUUAAGAGCCCCUCUUUGGGUGAACAAUUUUUUGUGCCAUAGAUAUGUAAGACUUUUGAUAAUGAUAAAUUUUGUGCCUAUUAUAACUGUACAAGGCAAGAGCUACUGGUAUUUAAGAGCAUUCACGAUAAGUAAAUAUUGCACCUAAUAUAACUUUACAAGGCAAAGAACUUAGUGAGGAAAUGGUGAUGCCAGAUAGUACAAUUUUUGUUUUUUGUAAUGCAGAUUUACCAAUAUGUAUAAACCUAACUCGUGGACAUUGCGGUAGUCAGAAAGUAAUAGGGUAUCUAGGAUGGGGCAUGGCAUUUUAUGUCUGUUUCCAUCUUUUAAGCCUCUUCCUAGCAAAUUAAGUAAGAGGUUUAACAAAUAUGUAAAAUCUGGCAGCUUUGAAUAUAUAUCUUCAACUAAGUUCUAUCUCUUGUUUUUGUCAAGAAAAAUAAUUUUAUUUGGUUAUAUUCAAAAUUUUGGAACACUUGUAGCUAUCUUUAGAUAAGAAAAUAAUUAUAUGAACUUGUAAAAACAUUUGCACUUUAAAUUCAUGCUCUAACUGUGUGAGUCCUUUAGUCUACAUGUUAUAGUAGACAUAACAUGUUAACUCUGUUAAAUUUGUAAAACUUAUGAAAAAUACAGUACCACUGAAAUAUUA